rnacentral:rRNA from 1 species
UACGUAGGGGGCAAGCGUUGUCCGGAAUCAUUGGGCGUAAAGCGCGCGUAGGCGGCCCGGUAAGUCCGUUGUGAAAGUCAAAGGCUCAACCUUUGAACGCCGAUGGAUACUGCCGGGCUAGAGUCCGGAAGAGGCGAGUGGAAUUCCUGGUGUAGCGAUGAAAUGCGUAGAUAUCUGGAGGAACACCGGUGGCGAAGGCGGCAUCCUGGACCGGCAUUGACGCUGAACAGCGAAAGCCAGGGGAGCAAACGGG